ensembl:lncRNA
GUGGUCACAGAGCUCGAGGAAGUGCUGGGUGGUCUCAAACAGGUCCAGUUGGAGAUGAAAGAGAUUGUCCAACAGAUCGACAUUCUAACGUCCAAUAUUGACCUUGGCGAAGACGAACCAAUUCUAUCCAAUGGACUCUCCCAAGAUGCCACCAAAAGCAGUCGAACUGGUGUUGUGGCAUUGAUGCACAAUUCAAACGGCGAAGAGGACAUGUCAACUUCCAAUUCCUCUCUCGCACACAGCCCUGUCACUGUGGAUUUAGUUCAUAUUAACAGUCCUUGGCCGAUGAGAAACCGCACAAGCCCCUCCCCUCCUGAGCAACGAUCCGUUACUGUUGAGGAUAAAGGCAAACGAGUUGUGAAACAGAGCUCAGAGACUCAAAGGACGGCCAAUGGAAACUGCCUACCGCAUCGAACGGCAAGGAAAGGCCAACUGGAAAACCACAGACCCCCUGUAGCUCCAGUAGUGUGCACUAACUCAAAUAAAACCCACCGGCCUCCACCUUACCCUCAGAACGGACAGGUGAAGAUGAGGACCCCUCCCUAUCCUGGAAAACAUAAGACGCUCUCCUCCACCAUAGUGGACUGAUGCCACGGAGGAUGGAGAAUCCCGGACCGAGGGGCAGUGACUAUAUUUCCCAAGGAAAACUCCAGAAACAUCUCAAACCCCUUUUUCUCUCUCACACCCAUGCGAAAAAAAGCUAGUUUGGACCAACUUAAAGUCUCCAUGAAAUGGCAUUCACAGCUCAAUUUACUUUCAUAGUCUGAUGUAUUUCUUAUUGAAACUCAGUGAGGAAACGUGUGAGUCAUGUGGUUGGAGGGGCUGGGUCACAAAGCAAGAGGGAUUUGUGAUGUCAGCUGAAAAGGAAAGUCGUUUCAGAGGCGGAGCAAGUUGUUACAUUUUGUUGAAAGAUUAUGAAAACAAGCAUUUUUUAAAAAUAAGAAUAAUGUGCAUCAAGGAAUUUUAAACAAACAGAAACGUGUUUUAAGAAAGUAAAUAGGGUCAAUUUUUUUUUUUGCAAAUAUAUGCAUUUAAAAUGUACGUUUUUUUUUUUUUCCCUCCAGGAAAUCAGUCCAAAAAUAUGGACUAUGCAUAGACUAGACCAGUGGUUCUCAAUUCCGGUCCGUAGCAACCACAUAGCAGCAUUCUAAAAAGCCACUCACGACAUAAAACCCUAGCAACUGCAUAACAACACCUUGGCAACUGCAUAGCAACAUUCUAAAAAGCCAUGCACAACAUAACACCUUAGCAACCGCAUAGCAACACAAUAGCAACAUUUUAAAAAGCCACUCACAACAUAACACCUUAGCAACCGCAUAGCAACACCUUAGCAACUGCAUAGCAACUUUCUAAAAAGCAAUUCACAAUAUAACACCUUAGCAACUGCAUAGCAACAUUCUAAAAAGUCACUCACAGCACCUUAGCAACCGCAUAGCAACACCUUAGCAACUGCAUAGCAACUUUCUAAAAAGCAAUUCACAACAUAACACCUUAGCAACUGCAUAGCAACAUUCUAAAAAGUCACUCACAGCACCUUAGCAACCGCAUAGCAACACCUUAGCAACUGCAUAGCAACAUUUUAAAAAAGCCACUCACAACAUAACACCUUAGCAACUGCAUAACAACAUUCUAAAAAGCCACUCACAACAUAACACCUUAGCAACUGCAUAACAACAUUCUAAAAAGCCACUCACAACAUAACACCUUAGCAACUGCAUAACAACAUUCUAAAAAGCCACUCACAACAUAACACCUUAGCAACUGCAUAACAACAUUCUA